rnacentral:rRNA from 1 species
CCUACGGGAGGCAGCAGUGGGGAAUCUUGCGCAAUGGCCGAGAGGCUGACGCAGCGACGCCGCGUGGGGGAUGAAGCAUUUCGGUGUGUAAACCCCUGUUGCUCGGGACGAACGACCCUUUUCGAGGGGUGUGACGGUACCGAGUGAGGAAGCACCGGCUAACUCCGUGCCAGCAGCCGCGGUAAUACGGAGGGUGCGAGCGUUGUCCGGAAUCACUGGGCGUAAAGGGCGCGUAGGUGGUUGGAUGCGCCGGUGGUGAAAGCGCAGGGCUCAACCCUGCGUCGGCCAUCGGGACGGUCCGACUGGAGCACUGUAGAGGCAGGUGGAAUUCCGGGUGUAGCGGUGGAAUGCGUAGAGAUCCGGAAGAACACCGGUGGCGAAGGCGGCCUGCUGGGCAGUUGCUGACACUGAGGCGCGACAGCGUGGGGAGCAAACAGGAUUAGAUACCCUGGUAGUCCACGCCGUAAACGAUGGGCACUAGGUGCUUGGGGGAGCGACCCCCUGAGUGCCGACGCUAACGCAUUAAGUGCCCCGCCUGGGGAGUACGACCGCAAGGUUGAAACUUAAAGGAAUUGACGG